CACGUGAAAUUCCGUCGGAAUCUGGGAGGACCAUCUCCUAAGGCUAAAUACUCUCUAGUGACCGAUAGUGAACCAGUACCGUGAGGGAAAGGUGAAAAGCACCCCGGAAGGGGAGUGAAAUAGAACCUGAAACCGUGUGCUUACAAGUAGUCAGAGCCCGUUAAUGGGUGAUGGCGUGCCUUUUGUAGAAUGAACCGGCGAGUUACGAUUUGAUGCAAGGUUAAGCAGUAAAUGUGGAGCCGUAGCGAAAGCGAGUCUGAAUAGGGCGUUUAGUAUUUGGUCGUAGACCCGAAACCAGGUGAUCUACCCUUGGUCAGGUUGAAGUUCAGGUAACACUGAAUGGAGGACCGAACCGACUUACGUUGAAAAGUGAGCGGAUGAACUGAGGGUAGCGGAGAAAUUCCAAUCGAACCUGGAGAUAGCUGGUUCUCUCCGAAAUAGCUUUAGGGCUAGCCUCAAGUGAUGAUUAUUGGAGGUAGAGCACUGUUUGGACGAGGGGCCCCUCUCGGGUUACCGAAUUCAGACAAACUCCGAAUGCCAAUUAAUUUAACUUGGGAGUCAGAACAUGGGUGAUAAGGUCCGUGUUCGAAAGGGAAACAGCCCAGACCACCAGCUAAGGUCCCAAAAUAUAUGUUAAGUGGAAAAGGAUGUGGCGUUGCCCAGACAACUAGGAUGUUGGCUUAGAAGCAGCCAUCAUUUAAAGAGUGCGUAAUAGCUCACUAGUCGAGUGACACUGCGCCGAAAAUGUACCGGGGCUAAACAUAUUACCGAAGCUGUGGAUUGUCCUUUGGACAAUGGUAGGAGAGCGUUCUAAGGGCGUUGAAGCAUGAUCGUAAGGACAUGUGGAGCGCUUAGAAGUGAGAAUGCCGGUGUGAGUAGCGAAAGACGGGUGAGAAUCCCGUCCACCGAUUGACUAAGGUUUCCAGAGGAAGGCUCGUCCGCUCUGGGUUAGUCGGGUCCUAAGCUGAGGCCGACAGGCGUAGGCGAUGGAUAACAGGUUGAUAUUCCUGUACCACCUAUAAUCGUUUUAAUCGAUGGGGGGACGCAGUAGGAUAGGCGAAGCGUGCGAUUGGAUUGCACGUCUAAGCAGUAAGGCUGAGUAUUAGGCAAAUCCGGUACUCGUUAAGGCUGAGCUGUGAUGGGGAGAAGACAUUGAGUCUUCGAGUCGUUGAUUUCACACUGCCGAGAAAAGCCUCUAGAUAGAAAAUAGGUGCCCGUACCGCAAACCGACACAGGUAGUCAAGAUGAGAAUUCUAAGGUGAGCGAGCGAACUCUCGUUAAGGAACUCGGCAAAAUGACCCCGUAACUUCGGGAGAAGGGGUGCUCUUUAGGGUUAACGCCCAGAAGAGCCGCAGUGAAUAGGCCCAAGCGACUGUUUAUCAAAAACACAGGUCUCUGCUAAACCGUAAGGUGAUGUAUAGGGGCUGACGCCUGCCCGGUGCUGGAAGGUUAAGAGGAGUGGUUAGCUUCUGCGAAGCUACGAAUCGAAGCCCCAGUAAACGGCGGCCGUAACUAUAACGGUCCUAAGGUAGCGAAAUUCCUUGUCGGGUAAGUUCCGACCCGCACGAAAGGCGUAACGAUUUGGGCACUGUCUCAACGAGAGACUCGGUGAAAUCAUAGUACCUGUGAAGAUGCAGGUUACCCGCGACAGGACGGAAAGACCCCGUGGAGCUUUACUGUAGCCUGAUAUUGAAAUUCGGCACAGCUUGUACAGGAUAGGUAGGAGCCUUUGAAACGUGAGCGCUAGCUUACGUGGAGGCGCUGGUGGGAUACUACCCUAGCUGUGUUGGCUUUCUAACCCGCACCACUUAUCGUGGUGGGAGACAGUGUCAGGCGGGCAGUUUGACUGGGGCGGUCGCCUCCUAAAAGGUAACGGAGGCGCUCAAAGGUUCCCUCAGAAUGGUUGGAAAUCAUUCAUAGAGUGUAAAGGCAUAAGGGAGCUUGACUGCGAGACCUACAAGUCGAGCAGGGUCGAAAGACGGACUUAGUGAUCCGGUGGUUCCGCAUGGAAGGGCCAUCGCUCAACGGAUAAAAGCUACCCCGGGGAUAACAGGCUUAUCUCCCCCAAGAGUUCACAUCGACGGGGAGGUUUGGCACCUCGAUGUCGGCUCAUCGCAUCCUGGGGCUGUAGUCGGUCCCAAGGGUUGGGCUGUUCGCCCAUUAAAGCGGUACGCGAGCUGGGUUCAGAACGUCGUGAGACAGUUCGGUCCCUAUCCGUCGUGGGCGUAGGAAAUUUGAGAGGAGCUGUCCUUAGUACGAGAGGACCGGGAUGGACAUACCUCUGGUGUACCAGUUGUCGUGCCAACGGCAUAGCUGGGUAGCUAUGUGUGGACGGGAUAAGUGCUGAAAGCAUCUAAGCAUGAAGCCCCCCUCAAGAUGAGAUUUCCCAACUUCGGUUAUAAGAUCCCUCAAAGAUGAUGAGGUUAAUAGGUUCGAGGUGGAAGCAUGGUGACAUGUGGAGCUGACGAAUACUAAUCGAUCGAAGACUUAAUCAA
rnacentral:rRNA from 1 species